rnacentral:rRNA from 1 species
AACGAACGCUGGCGGCAGGCUUAAUACAUGCAAGUCGAACGCGUGUAGCAAUACACGAGUGGCGCACGGGUGCGUAACGCGUGGGAACCUUCCUCGUAGUUCGGAAUAACCCAGGGAAACUUGGGCUAAUACCGGAUAUCUCCUUCGGGAGCAAGAUUUAUCGCUAUGAGAGGGGCCCGCGUCAGAUUAGGUAGUUGGUAGGGUACCGGCCUACCAAGACGAAGAUCUGUAGCUGGUCUGAGAGGAUGAUCAGCCACACUGGGACUGCGACACGGCCCAGACUCCUACGGGAGGCAGCAGUGGGUAAGAUUGGACAAGGGGGGCAACCCUGAUCCAGCCAUGCCGCGUGAGUGAAGAAGGCCUUCGGGUUGUAAAGCUCUUUCGACGGGGACGAUGAUGACGGUACCCGUAUAAGAAGCCCCGGCUAACUUCGUGCCAGCAGCCGCCGUAA